rnacentral:rRNA from 1 species
UACGUAGGGUGCGAGCGUUAAUCGGAAUUACUGGGCGUAAAGCGUGCGCAGGCGGUUUUGUAAGACAGGCGUGAAAUCCCCGGGCUCAACCUGGGAAUGGCGCUUGUGACUGCAAAGCUGGAGUGCGGCAGAGGGGGAUGGAAUUCCGCGUGUAGCAGUGAAAUGCGUAGAUAUGCGGAGGAACACCGAUGGCGAAGGCAAUCCCCUGGGCCUGCACUGACGCUCAUGCACGAAAGUGUGGGGAGCAAACAGG